GCAUCGGUAAUUCAGUGGUAAAAUGCUUGCCUGCCACGCGGGCGGCCCGGGUUCGAUUCCAGGCCGAUGCA
rnacentral:tRNA from 1 species